AGCUCCAAUAGCGUAUAUUAAAGUUGUUGCGGUUAAAAAGCUCGUAGUUGGAUUUCUGUGGAAAACAGGCGGUCCACCUUUUGGGUGAGUAUCUGCAUUGGUUUCUGCAUCUUCUCGGAAAACGUUUCUGCGCUUGAUUGCGUGGGGCGGAGUUCGGGACUUUUACUUUGAGGAAAUUAGAGUGUUCACGGCAGGCAUACGCCCUGAAUAUAUUAGCAUGGAAUAAUGAUCUAGGGCUUUGGCUCUAUUUUGUUGGUUUCUAGAGCUA
rnacentral:rRNA from 1 species